rnacentral:misc_RNA from 1 species
AUUCAAUAGCUGUUUGGUAACUGUUGAAGAUGUUUAUUGCUUAUUUCUGAAUCUUUAAUUUGUACGACUUACUUAUUCUUUGUUACUUCUUCAUCCUUAAAUAGUGUAAGCCUAUUGUUUAAUAUUCUAUUGAACGAUAUUUAUGAUAAAUCCUUUCCUUCUUUAAAAAAAUUGCGCAAUAAUUAUGACUAAAAGCUUACAAGUAUAUAGACGCUUUAAUUGUUAUUGCUUUUGUAUUUCAUUAACAUUUAGACUAUCUUGUUUAUAUUACCUUCAGAAUGUGUAUUAAUAAUCUACUAACUAAACUGAGUGCUACUAAUCAGGAAGUCUUUUAAAUUGUAAUCAUUAAACAAUUACAUUAUCGCUCAGUAAAAAUAAUGAAUUUUUGUUAAAAUUAACUCGGAAAAAUAUUGAAAUAUUUUUGUUGUUUUAAUUAUAUAAUUCUAUAAUUAAUUACUUGAAAAGGAAUAGGAAAGAGUUUAUUUAUUGUUAUAUAAUAUUAAUAGUAUUAUUGUCUUGACUGAGGCGACACUGGUAUCAGAAAACUAGGAACUGACAGGUCAUUUACAAGAGAAACAUGGCUGAAUGCGAUUAUGUCUGUACACUGGAAGAUAAAUAUAUUAAGAAAGCUAAGGAUGAACUUAAUGAAAUACCCAGCGAUAGAUUAUCAGCUGUUAAAGCUCUAAGGGAAUGGGUUAAUGAGCAGAAGCAUCUUACAUUCAACACAGACACGCUAAAUUUGAUUAGAAUUUUGAGACACAGCAAGUUUAGUCAAGCUAAAGCAAGAGAGACAAUUGAGAAUGUGGCAAAGUUUAUUUCAAAGUCUAGAACCUAUUUCUCCAACUUGGAUGCCGAAGAUGACAAAUGUCAGUCAAUGCUUAGACGAGGUCAGCUUAUGCUAUUACCUGGAUAUGAUGAUGAUGGAAGAAAAGUAAUGCUAUAUAAACUAAAUAUGAUACCUUUCGACGAGUACAAGAGAGAUUAUAAGUUUUCCGUAAUGGUAAAAGUCAUGAAUACUGUAUUUAUAUCCCUGAUGGACGAUGAAAUGUUUCAAGUCAAUGGUGUUGUGAUGUUUUUCGACAUGACCGGCGUUACUUUGAAAAUGAUUUCAACAUUUAAUGACCCAGAGUCUAUUAAAUACCAUAAAGACAGUCAGAACGCCCAAGUAGGUCGACUAAAAGGUUUUCAUUACUACAAUAUUGGAGGUCUCUUUGAAGCUAUGUUUUCCAUGUACAAACCGUUCAUGAAGCAGAAGCAUAAGGAAAGGUUACGUGUACAUGAAACACUGGAAUCAAUUUAUCGAUACAUUCCCAAGAGAAUGCUGCCUAACGAAUAUUUACCGGAUGACUAUGACGGACCAAGAGCUGGAUCUCUUGUAGAGAUUGGAGCUCAAACAGCGGACGCAAUACUUAAAAAGAGAGAGAAAAUCCUAGAUUUUACUGAUCCAAAGCACAUAUCCUAUGAUGAAAGUAAAAAACCAUCAGCUGAACCCCUUCAACAUUUUAGAAAACUCAAUAUUGAUUAGAUGUAUAAGUAAUACAUAGUGCAAUGAUAUAUGUUCUUUUAUUUACAAAAAUUAAAAUAUAUUUUAAAACUACUCUAUUUUCUUUAACGUUUGAGAAUGUUUAGUCAUAGCCAUCAAUUCUUGACGUGUUCACUUCCAAAACUACAAUUGUGACCAUUAGUCACCUAAUCUAUAUGGAGUUAGGAAAUUUGCCAUAUUUUUUACGACCAUAUUUCACAAUAUGCUUGUGAAAAUCGAUAAGAAAAGCAGUUUAUUUACCUGGGGAUACCUAGGC